rnacentral:rRNA from 1 species
UCUUCCGCAAUGGACGAAAGUCUGACGGAGCAACGCCGCGUGAGUGAUGAAGGUUUUCGGAUCGUAAAACUCUGUUGUUAGGGAAGAACAAGUACCGUUCGAAUAGGGCGGCACCUUGACGGUACCUAGCCAGAAAGCAACGGCGACCUACGUGCCAGCAGCGGCGGUAAUACGUAGGUGGCAAGCGUGGUCCGGAAUUAUUGGGCGUAAAGCGCGCGCAGGCGGUUUCUUUAGUCUGAUGUGAAAGCCCCCGGCUCAACCGGGGAGGGUCAUUGGAAACUGGGGAACUUGAGUGCAGAAGAGGAGAGUGGAAUUCCACGUGUAGCGGUGAAAUGCGUAGAGAUGUGGAGGAACACCAGUGGCGAAGGCGACUCUCUGGUCUGUAACUGACGCUGAGGCGCGAAAGCGUGGGGAGCGAACGG